GACAACAGAGGACUGAGACAGAUUCAUAGUUAUAUGGACUUGAUCUCAGGACAAAAAUAUUUAAACAAUAACAAUAAAACAACAAAAAUAGCCGUUAAAGAUUCCAUGGUUGCUACGGCUGUCUCUAGGUAAGUCAAGUGUAUAAGAUCAGAAUUUAAACAAAAACAACUUCUCAGACAGUCAAAAAAAUAUCUUUCUGAACUUUCACUCGACGAUUUCUCAGAAAUUAUCUCUUCAUCUCUGAACUUUUUGCAUCCUGUCAAGAGUUAAAGACCCAAAGUGAAAAGUUACAGCGAGAAAAGUGACUUCCAUCAUGGAAAAUGCACAAUGUCCAGGGGCCUGCUGUGACCAUUGGAUGGCUCCACCUUGGACAUGUUCUCCGUGUCCUCUGUGUGACCAAAAGCUUCCUGCUGCUCUACGACUGUACGGCCACAGGUCACUGCUCAGAUUGUAGUCUUUUUACUCUGAAGGCUCCAUCCUGUCUUUUCUCAUCAAUCUCAAAUAUGCUGGUUAAAUGGAAUGUGUGAAAGCAUCUGGUUUAAGGUCUCCUGGCAGGAGAAGUUAAAAUUUAGUCAACAGCAGAGCAGACAUCGCAGGGGCUCACUCACAGGGUUUUGUUAAUGAUUAAUAUUAGACCAGAUAGCAUAUAUUUCAUUACAAUGGCUGUAUCACAUAUUUAAUUGGACCUCAUGUUUAGAAAAUCAAACUUCCGGUUAUACAGCAUUUGGAUGGAUGGGUGAUCAGAUGAAUACACCUCAACUUUACCCCCAAUUUUAGGUUUCUGCUAAAUUAAAUGAUCGACUGUGACAUAUAUACAAAUAUUUACUUUUUUUUCAGUAGGUGUCAUUGUCAGGUUAGAGAUAUCCUUUAGAAAGUAAAAAGUUUCUUAACAUUAAGCCACUAAUGAC